GGAGGCGCGGGCGGCGCGGCCAGGACUUUGGCUUUGACACGGACGGCGAGCUGGAGCCGUGGCUCUGGUGCUGGGCACCGACGCGGUCCUGGCGGAUCCCGCGUCCGAGUCGGGCGCAGGACUUUUCGCCUCGAUCAACGCAACUGCGGCGACGCCGCAAGUCCUGGUGCAGCCUCAAGACUUGGUGCAGCCACGGCGGCCGGAUUUCGCCGCCGCUGCCACCUCCGCGCAGCCCUGCAGCUCCUGCCGGCUCUGGGAGAGCGACUCUGAGAGUUUCUCCCGCAGAAAGAGCCGGGACGCGCGGCCCGAGGAGGCCCAGCCACUGACCCGCACACGCGCGGGCACCAGGAUUGGAGGCGGGGGGCCCGCGCAGUCCUGGGUUGGGCUCAGGCUUCCGAGCCGCAGGUGGAAGGACGCCCCGGGGGAGCAGCGGCGAGGUGGCCAAGUGAAAGGUACUUUUGGACACCCUGGGCAUGGAGAUUUAGCGUUUGUCUUUGGUAACCGUUUCAUUCCCUGCAUCCCGAACCUUCCCUCCAUCUGUGCCAGUAAGGUUGUUGGGCUUCCUCCCUAGCCAGAGAGUUCUUCUGUGGGGGUGAGGCCUUCCCGGGCCACGGACCCUGGCCGGCAUGGGGAGCACGCUGGGCUGCCACCGCUCCAUACCGCGGGACCCCUCGGACCUGUCCCAUAACCGCAAGUUCAGCGCUGCCUGCAACUUCAGCAACAUCCUGGUGAAUCAGGAGCGGCUCAACAUCAACACGGCCACCGAGGAGGAGCUGAUGACCCUGCCUGGGGUGACGCGUGCAGUGGCACGCAGCAUCGUGGAGUACCGCGAGUACAUCGGUGGCUUCAAAAAGGUGGAGGACCUGGCACUGGUCAGCGGCGUGGGUGCCACCAAACUGGAGCAGGUCAAGUUUGAGAUCUGCGUGGGCAGCAAGGGCAGCUCUGCGCAGCACUCUCCCAGCUCCCUGCGGCGAGACUUGCUGGCGGAGCAGCAGCCUCACCACCUUGCCACGGCCGUGCCCCUCACCCCGCGUGUCAACAUCAACACGGCCACCCCGGCUCAGCUGAUGAGCGUUCGAGGCCUCACGGAGAAGAUGGCUGUCAGCAUUGUGGACUACCGCCGCGAGCAUGGGCCCUUCCGCAGCGUGGAGGACCUAGUGAGGAUGGGUGGUAUCAGUGCUGCCUUCCUCGACAGGAUCCGGCACCAGCUGUUUGCAGAGAGGUCCAGGCCCCCGUCUACCCACACCAACGGAGGCCUGACCUUCACCGCCAAGCCUCACCCCAGCCCUACCUCACUAAGCCUGCAGAGUGAGGACCUAGACCUGCCACCAGGGGGGCCCACCCAGAUCAUCUCCACCCGCCCUUCCGUGGAGGCCUUCGGAGGCACGAGGGAUGGGCGGCCAGUGCUGAGGCUGGCCACUUGGAACCUGCAGGGCUGCUCAGUGGAGAAGGCCAACAACCCUGGGGUGCGAGAAGUGGUGUGCAUGACGCUCUUGGAAAACAGCAUCAAGCUUCUAGCUGUGCAGGAGCUACUUGACAGAGAGGCCCUGGAAAAGUUCUGUACGGAGCUAAACCAGCCUAUCCUGCCCAACAUCCGCAAGUGGAAGGGGCCCCGGGGAUGCUGGAAGGCCGUUGUUGCUGAGAUGCCCUCCACUCAGCUCCAGAAGGGGGCCGGGUUCUCUGGAUUCCUGUGGGAUGCUGCGGCCGGGGUAGAGCUGAGAGACGCCACCUCGCAGGAAAAUUCGCCUGGUAAUGGGCACGGGAAGCCGAUGGGGCCCAGCCUGUACCUUGCGCGGUUCAAGGUGGGAAGUAAUGACUUGACCCUUGUGAACCUUCACCUGGCGGCCCUGACCCCCCCAGGGGGUGAGAAUCCAAGCAGGAAUCACAGUGACAGCCACCGCUUGGCUGGCUUUGUACAGACCUUGCAGGAAACCCUGAAAGGAGAAAAAGACAUGAUUUUUUUAGGGGAUUUUGGCCAGGGUCCUGACAGCAGUGACUAUGAUAUCUUGAGGAAAGAAAAAUUCUACCACCUGGUCCCUGCGCACACCUUCACCAACAUCAGCACCAAGAAUCCCCAAGGCUCAAAGUCUCUGGACAACAUCUGGAUCAGUAAAAGCUUAAAGAAGGUUUUCACAGGGUUGGAGUUCUCCCCCGAUGCUCCCACGCAGAUACCGUCCCACUGGAGUGAGAGAGCACCCCGCCUGGCAGAGGUCGCCCCGUCUGGAAUGGGAGGUGAGUGCACCAGGUGAGACUGCCACAGGGUCUGCUUUCAAAGGAAAGGAAUUCAUGGCUUCAGCACCGCCCAGUUCUCUUAAACUGUCUCUUGUCUUUAAAUAAGCCUUGUCCAUGCUUAUUGGCUCCUUACUGUCUUGAGCACUUGACACUUUUAACUGCUUUAUUCCUUCGAAGAGUCCAUUGUGGUUGGUCCUAUUGUUUGUGCCCUCUUACAGACGGAGGAACUGAGGCAGGGGGAAGGGAAGGAUGAGGGACUCUGGUUUCACUGUGAUAAGGAAGGCAGUUGGUCUAGGACAUGUCAAGCAGACCCAGAGGGCUGUGGAAAAUAAGUGGCCUUGACAAAGGCAGGUAGAGCUAAUGCCAAAGGGACAGGCCAGGGAGCUAUUGCUGGGGCUUCUGCCUUUCUGGAAACCAUGUGGGAGGCUGACCUAGGCAUUGGUCUUAGCCCAGCACAGACUGAGGAAAGCAGGUGGGAGAGGGCCAAGGGCACAGGGGCAGGACGAGCUUUGAAGGCCGCGGGGUGGGCUGGGGCAUCCUGGGACCUCCGGCUCUUGCCUCCUACAGUGUCUCCUGCCCCUCCCUUUUUCUCUGAUGGGUGCUGGGUGGCCCGGUUGGGCUUGGGAACAUGGGCAGUUCGGGUGCAUAAGAGCGGUGAAGUUCAGAGGCUAGUGAACGAGAGCAUCAGGCAAAAGGGUGUCGCUUUGUCUGCGGAGAGCCCUGUCCUUGGGUGGCAGUGGUUCCCCAUGGCCGGGGAAGGAGGAAGAAGAGGGAGAGGGAGAAAGCCUCUGAAGACCUUCCCCACCUGCUUGUGUCUUCCUGAGUCUGGGGUCAAACCACAUGAGGCAGGUUUCCUUUGGUGCUUGCGGUGGUGGGGAUGCUUUAUAGUUAGUCUGCUGAGCAGGCUGGGCUCCAGUCAACAGUCAGUGUCAGGAGAUGGACCUGCCUAGGCGCCCUGCCGACUUCCAGUAUGAUGAAUUAUUUAAUUAGAUGAUUAUCUGGGGGUGAGGGUGGGAGCAGCAAGGACUCAGGUUUUACUGUGAUGAGUGAGUGCAAUUGGCCUGCAUUGUGUGAUCGCAUGGAACCCACGGCCUUGGACAGAGUCCGACUUCGCAGCUGGAGGAAGGUGUCUGGCCCCUGGGCCCAGGCCCGCUGUGUUUCCUGUGGAAGUUUCUUCCUUCUGGGCUCUGAGAUGGACUGAGGUGGCAUUUUUAAAGAUUUUAUUUAUUUAUUUGCCAGAGAGAUAGAGAGCACAAGUAGGCAGAGAGGCAGGCAGAGGGAGAGGGAGAAGCAGGCUCCCUGCCGAGCAGGGAGCCCGAUGCGGGGCUUGAUGCCAGGACCCUGGGAUCAUAACCAAAGCCAAAGGCAGCCGCUUAACCGACUGAGCCACCCAGGUGUCCCCAAGGUGGCAUUUUUAAACAGAUUCCAGAGAUGGCUUUCUCUGAAAAGAAGGCCAACAGGACACUGUCCCUGUUGUCGGCUUUAAGGAAUCCUAUGAAUUUUCCUGCCUAGAAAAAUCCACCCCGCCCUUCACUGAGGAAAUGCCAGGAUGAAGCCAGCUAUGCCGUGGAUUUGCUGGGUGCUGUUAACAAAACACUGUUUUUCACAAUCAUCUUGGGUAAGUUUGAAGAUGAAGUUAGAAAAUGCUACACCAAAGCUGAAACUGGAUGACUCUGCUACAAGGAAAUAUGCUGGAGGGGUCAAGAGUGGUUUUCCAGUAUCUGGUUAGUGUUGGCACAAUGUGCCCCAACCCUGCACAGAAUCUACAGGCCACACCCCGGCCAUCAUGACACAUGUGUGCGUGCCUUUAAUGCUCCGAAGGGCCUGGCCUGCUACUUACCAAAGGUGAGAUGUGUGGCUUUGCAAGAACCACCAGGUGCCAGUUAGAAUAUAUCCUAUUUGCUGCAACAUUCUUCUUUGAGGCAAGCCCUUCUAGAUAUGUGAAUGAGAAAAAUCACAUAACCUAGCCUGCGUAAGAUUUCCUAAAAUCAUUUCCUAGCAUGAAUGUGAACCAGACUUUGCUGUAUGCAUCUACCAGUGUUAGCACCAUAUUUAAGCCUGAACUGAGGUAAAGAUAAACACUCAAGAUAGCUUUGGGUAAAAAUUACAGUAGCAAUUUUGAAUGGGGUGCUUACAGCAGUGUUCUUCCUGAUCAUUCAAAUAAGUUGUUUGAAGAACCAUUUGAUCCCAAGUAUAUAUAUCCAAUAUAUAUCGAAAUUGAUAAUACAAAGCUAGGUGUAUAAGCUUUUAACAGAGAAAAUACAGCAAAACAGAAUUCUCAUUUUUGAAAUUCAAACUAUGUCAUUAUUGGGUUAAUGAAGUCAAAGAUUUCGAUAAAAUAUACUGAGCCAACAUGACAAGGCCAGUUUAUCAAAUAGCAAUGUCUAGGAAUUCCAUUUUUCAGAGCAUGGUCAAGUUUAUGGUAGACACUACCUAGUCAGUAUCCGGUGCCUCCAAGAACUACAUUAAUCUAUUUGUAUCUUGCUAGUCGCUCCAUUUAAUAAAAAGGGGAGUAGCUUCUCUCUUCCCCAACUGUUUUAAUUUAUGUAGACAAACCUUUCUGGAACUUUUACUUAUCAUUUAUAUAAAGGAAUGGGGAGGGAAAGACCCUAAAACUUAAAAUCUUGAAGGUAUAUAAUGUUUCAGCAAAUAAAGUUUAGUUGAGAAAUAACUGGACAAAAUGAGGUAAUUCUCUAGUUCCUAUAAACUGAUAAGGUGAAACAAUGUGGAAGAUAAAGAACUAAUGAAAACUUUUCAAACUACCUUUCCCCUUUUUAACAUUACUUAACAUAUAAGAGAAAUAAGAAACCUUAGAUACAGCUAGCUUUGGGGAGCAAAACAAAACUAAUUUUUCAAAGGAGAACUAUAAUCACUUAUCAAAUAAAAUAUAAUCUUGGGAGUCUGAAGUCCAGUGUUGUCCUAUCUCUAUAGUUGGGGCUAGUCUUGGUGCUCAGGCAGAAGCACUAAGGAGCAGUGCUUACUGCCCACACAGCCUAUCACUUGAUUUGGCCAAGAUUCUUCAAAAACACUCACCAGUAGUAUUUUCAGUGGAUGCUGUUGAGAUUCAGAUAAAAAUAGGAGGAACUUCCCCCUGCAGCCUAUAGAAACGUUUAAGGUUUGUAUUUAACCUUUUUAAAAAAUUCAGUUGAAUACUGCAGAUCGUUCUUUAGAAAAGUCAUGUAAACAGUCAUUUUUCUUUUAUCAAUAUGCCGGUGCUAACAUACACAGAGGUAUAGCUUAGCUACAUCUGCCAGAACGCAGACUAAUAUAUAAGAUCUUUCAGUUCCCUGUCAGUCAGUUCAUUCACUUCCAUAAUCUUCUCUAAAUGUUCCAUGUAUCGGCCAUGGUCCUGCAGGAAAUGAGGGACCCUCAUGUUUUCAAUAACUGCCAAUCCUUUCAAGCGAUCCACAUCUUCGUAAGAGACCUGAAAAAAGGAAGGUGGGUUAAUUUUUAAAUGUAAGUAAUUUCUUCCCUAAGUCUUAAGAGAAACAUUACUUCAAUACCUGCAAAAUAACAAAAAUCAAUGGCUUCCUUUCCCUUACUGUAUUAAAUACAAAUGUAUUGGGGCACCUGGGUGGCACAUUAGGUUAAGUGUUCGACUCCUGAUUUCAGCUCAGGUCAUGAUCUCAGGGUUGUGAGAUGGAGCCCUGCAUUGGGCUCACGUUCUGGGCGUGGAGCCUGCUUGAGAUUCUCUCUCUCCCCCCUCCCUCUGCACCCAUACUAAAAAAAAAAAAAAAAAAAGUAUUGUUCUGCCUGCUCAUACCAUGACCAUAAAAAAAAAAAAAAUCAAGUCAGGGGCGCCUGGGUGGCUCAGUCGUUAAGCGUCUGCUUUCGGCUCAGGUCAUGAUCCCAGGGUCCUGGGAUCGAGUCCCGCAUUGGGCUCCCCGUUCUGCGGGAAGCCUGCUUCUCCUUCUCCCAUUCCCCCUGCUUGUGUUCCCUCUCUCGCUGUGUCUCUCUCUGUCAAAUAAAUAAAUAAAAAUCUUAAAAAAAAAAAAAAAUCAAGUCAGUAUUUAACAUUCUAUCUUGGACCUAUACUGUUUGUCUAGAAUUUACAUAACUAAACUUAAUACAUGUGUGUGAGAGACUAAAACCUAAACAAAUGUCCUGACUAAAUCUAAAUGAAAGAACCCAGGAAACAGCUAGAAUAUAAAUACCGUAUCACUGAAUUAGGAAAAUCAGCACGAUUAUAGACUGAAUUCCUAUUUCUAUUUAAUUUCAGAAAUAAAAUUGUUUUAUGUUAAAUUCUCUUUGUAAACAAGUAUCCUAUAAAAUCUUUUUACUUAUGUAAGAAGUAUUUUUUUUACUUUUAUAUUUUUAUUUUUUUAAUUAGGUAAGAAGCCAAUCUCUUGUAAGUAUUUAUAUUGAGUUUAUGGAUGAAACUCUUUAAGUUCUAAAAAUUAAGAUUCAGUAGAAAGGCUUUAAAUAAAGAAAUCAUGUUCAUUUAUACUUUAAUAAGUUUUCAUUUUUUUAUUUUAUCUAUUAGAGAGCACACAAGCAGAGGGAGAAGCAGACUCCCCGCUGAGCAGGGAGCCUGACAUGGGGCUUGAUCCCAGGACCCCAAGACCAUGACCUGAGCCAAAGGCAGACACUUAACUGAAUGAGCCACCCAGAUGCCCCUUAGGUUUUAAUUUUUAAGUUAUUAUUGAAAUUAUUUUGAGUAUUUCUACCACUAAGUAAUGAAAAUAGGUUUGUUGUUGAUACUGGUGUGGUUUAAUUUUUUCUUCUUCCUUCCUCAACCGACAAGACCUAUCCAUAAAUAUGUCCAAGAGAUAAACUGUAUAGGUUUCCUUUUAGGUUUUUGGUGUUUAAUCCAUUUUUAGUUUAUUUUUGUGUAUGGUGUAAGAAGGUGGUCCAGUUUCAUUCUUUUGCAUGCAGCUGUCCAGUUUUCCCAGCACCAUUUAUUGAGGAAGUGUCUUUUUUCCACUGUGUACUCUGCUUCUGUCAUAAAUUAAAUGAUCUAGGUUAUCCUGUUCCAAUGUUUUAUAUAUCUAUUUCUGUAUCAAUUCCAUACUGUUUCAAUUACUAUAGCUCUGUAGUAUAUCUUGAAAUCUGGGGUUAUUAUACUUCUAACCUAGUUCUUCUUUAUUAAGAUGGCUUUGCUACUUGACGUUGUUUGUGGUUUCAUACAAAUUUCAGGAUUGAUUAUUCUAGUUCUGUGAAAAAUGCUACUGGUAUUUUGAUUGGUAUUGCACUGAAUCUGUAUAUUGCUUUGGGUAGUAUGGACAUUUUAACAAAAUUAAUUCUUCCAAUCCAAGAACACAGUGUUAUCUUCCCACUUGUUAGUGUCAUCUUCAAUUUCUUUCAUCAGUGUCUUCUAGUUUUCAGAAUAUAGGUCUUUCACCUCCUUGGUUAAUUUAUUUCUAGGUAUUUUAUGCUUUUAGUACGAUAAGUGGGAUUGUUAAUUUCUUUUUCUGCUUUGUUGUUAUUGUAUAGAAAUGCAAUAGAUUUUUGUAUCCUGUAAUUUUACUGAAUUCAUUUAUUCUAACAGUUUUUUGGUAGAGUCCUUAGGGUUUUCUAUAUAUAGUAUGUCAUCUGAUGGUUUUACUUCUUUCUAAUGUGGAUGCCUUUUAUGUCUUUUUCUUGUCUGACAGCAAGGACUUCUAGUACUAUGUUGAAAAAAAAAAAAGUAAGAAUGGACAUCCUGGUCUCAUUCCUGAUCUUAGAGGAGUUUUGAAAAGCUUUCAGUUUUUUCAUUGUUGGCUCUUGGGUUUUAAUUUAUGGCCUUUAUUAUGUUGAGGUAUGUUCCCUCUAAACCUUUGUCAAGGGUUUUUAUCACUAAUGGAUGUUGUACUCUGUCAAACUUUUUUUUCCUCAUCUAUUGAAAUGAUGUGGUUUUAAAUUCUUUGUUAUUGAUGUGAUGUAUCAUGACUGAUUUGCAAAUACUGACCUGUAGUUUUUUUUGUAGUGACUUUGGUUUUAGUAUCAGGAUAAUGCUGGCCUUGCAGAAUGAAUUUGGAAAUUUUCUUUCCUCUUCUGUGUUUUUGGAAGAGUUUGAGAAUUAUAUUUACUCUUUGGUAGAAUUUAGAAUUCAUCCAUGGAGCCAUGUGGUCCUAGCUGUUGGGAGUUUUGUUUGUUGGGAAUUCAUUUAUUACUGAUGUAGUUUCAUUACUAGUAAUCAGUCUGUUCAAAUUCUCUACUUCUUCCUGAUUCAGUUUUAGAGGAUUGUAUGUUUCUAUUUUUGUGGUAUCCUAUUUCUCCUCUUUCGUAUCUGAUUUGAGUCCUCUCUUCUUAAUGAGUCUGGCUAAAGGUUUAUGAAUUUUG